AUUAGGCAUGCAAGUCGAACGGGAUCGGGGAGGUAGCAAUAUCGCCCCGUGAGAGUGGCGGAAGGGCGAGGAACACGUGGGCAACCUGUCCUUGAGGUGGGGAAAACUCCGGGAAACUGGAGCUAAUACCGAAUGUGGCGCCCCAACACAUGUUGGGAACGCCAAAGGGGGCCGAAAGGCUCUCCCUCUUCGAGGGGCUCGCGCACCAUCAGCUUGUUGGCGGGGUAACGGCCCACCAAGGCUUACGGUUAGCUGGUCUGAGAGGAUGGCCAGCCGCACUGGGACUGAGAUACUGCCCAGACUCCUACGGGAGGCUGCAGUCGAGGAUCAUUCGCAAUGGGGGAAACCCUGACGAUGCGACGCUGCGUGGAGGAUGGAGGCCUUCGGGUUGUAAACUCCUGUCAUGACGGAAAAGGAGAGGGGACCCAACACGUCCCUCAUUUGAUGGUACGUCAAGAGGAAGAGACGGCUAACUCUGUGCCAGCAGCCGCGGUAAUACAGAGGUCUCGAGCGUUGUUCGGAUUUACUGGGCGUAAAGGGCGCGUAGGCGGCGGAAUGUGUCGGAUGUGAAAUCUCCGGGCUCAACCCGGAAAGUGCGUCCGAAACUAUUCCGCUCGAGUGCGGGAUGGGGAAGGGGAAUAUAGGGUGUAGCGGUGAAAUGCGUUGAUAUCCUAUAGAACACCGGAGGCGAAGGCGCCUUCCUGGAACGCAACUGACGCUGAGGCGCGAAAGUCGGGGGAGCAAACAGGAUUAGAUACCCUGGUAGUCCCGACCUUAAACGGUGCACGCUAGGGGUGGGGGGGAUUUCAACCCUCCCGUCCCAAGCUAACGCGUUAACCGUGCCGCCUGGUGAUACGGCCGCCAGGCUAAAACUCAAGAAAUUGACGGGGCCCGACAACAAAUAGCAUGUGCUUAUUCGAUGCAA
rnacentral:rRNA from 1 species